GUUUGCUCAGUUGGUUAGGGCGUGGUGCUGAUAACGUCAAGGCCGUGGGUUUGAUCCCCACAUGGGCCA